AGCGAACGCUGGCGGCAGGCCUAACACAUGCAAGUCGAACGAAGUCUUCGGACUUAGUGGCGGACGGGUGAGGAACACGUGGGAACGUACCUGUUGGUUCGGAACAACUCAGGGAAACUUGAGCUAAUACGGGAUGAGCACUUAGGGGGAAAGAUUUAACACAGAAAGAGCGGCCCGGGUUAGAUUAGCUAGUUGGUGAGGUAAAGGCUCACCAAGGCUACGAUCUAUAGCUGGCUUGAGAGGAUGAUCAGCCUCACUGGGACUGAGACACGGCCCAGACUCCUACGGGAGGCAGCAGUGGGGAAUCUUGCGAAAUGGGCGAAAGCCUGACGCAGCCAUGCCGCGUGAAUGAUGAAGGUCUUAGGAUUGUAAAAUUCUUUUACCAGGGACGAUAAUGACGGUACCUGGAGAAAAAGCCCCGGCUAACUUCGUGCCAGCCGCCGCGGUAACAC
rnacentral:rRNA from 1 species